GCCUGCCUGGCUCAAUUGGUGGAGUGUGGGACUCUUGAUCUCGGGGUUGUGAGUUCAAGCCCCACGUUGGGUU
rnacentral:tRNA from 1 species